UACGUAGGCAGCAAGCGUUGUUCGGAGUUACUGGGCGUAAAGCGCACGUAGGCGGCUUUCUAAGUCGGGGGUGAAAUCCUGGAGCUCAACUCCAGAACUGCCUUCGAUACUGGAGAGCUUGAGUCCGGGAGAGGUGAGUGGAACUGCGAGUGUAGAGGUGAAAUUCGUAGAUAUUCGCAAGAACACCAGUGGCGAAGGCGGCUCACUGGCCCGGUACUGACGCUGAGGUGCGAAAGCGUGGGGAGCAAACAGG
rnacentral:rRNA from 1 species